UGGGGAAUAUUGGGCAAUGGGGGAAACCCUGACCCAGCAACGCCGCGUGAGCGAAGAAGGUUUUCGGAUUGUAAAGCUCUGUCCUGUGGGAAGAAUAAAUGACGGUACCACAGGAGGAAGCCCCGGCUAACUACGUGCCAGCAGCCGCGGUAAUACGUAGGGGGCGAGCGUUGUCCGGAAUUAUUGGGCGUAAAGGGUGCGUAGGCGGUUGUAUAAGUCUCAUGUGAAAUAUCCGAGCUUAACUCGGAGGUUGCAUGGGAAACUGUAUAACUUGAGUACAGGAGAGGUAAGCGGAAUUCCUAGUGUAGCGGUGAAAUGCGUAGAUAUUAGGAGGAACACCAGUGGCGAAGGCGGCUUACUGGACUGAAACUGACGCUGAGGCACGAAAGCGUGGGGAGCAAACA
rnacentral:rRNA from 1 species